rnacentral:lncRNA from 1 species
UAUUUCGAUCACUUACUAGGUAACUAUAUUAUUUAGGUUUGAAAUAAUGUUUAUGUGGCCUAUAAUAAUGUAAAGAGAUGCUAAAUUUCACUCACAACAACACUGUAUUUCUUUUUGAUUUAUCUUCUGCUAUAUUCUGCCUGUUGGGAAAUGAGGUUCUUUUAACCAUGGUCCUGCUAUUCUCAUUUCUUUGGUUUUGUCUCCAUUCAUUCACUUUGAUCCUGGCUAACACGGUGAAACCCCAUCUCUACUAAAAAAAAAAAUAAUAAUAAUUAGCCGGGCAUGGUGGUGGGCGCCUGUAGUCCCAGCUACUCAGGAGGCUGAGGCAGGAGAAUGGCGUGAACCCAGAAGGCAGAGCUUGCAGUGAGCUGAGAUUGCACUACUGCACUCCAGCCUGGCCGACAGAGCGAGAAUCCAUCUCAAAAAAAAAAAAAAAAAAAAAAAAAGAAAACCUAACCUAAGUAUUCGGAGAUUUGUCCAAGUAUAUAGAACUUGUAUGGGACAAAUCUGGAUCUAGAAUUCAAACUUACAGUUUUCUGUACCAACACGUAUUAUACAUCUGUCUACCUAUCUAAAUAAGGAUCCUGGUGUGGGAAAAAUUUCCAAUGCUAGACAAGCACUGGUUUAGAAAUGGGUCAAUUUUGUAAAUAUUCCACGUGGCCUCCAAACAAUUUAAAUACAUUUCCAUCCCCAAAUGCAUAAGAAAGUUUUAUCCUGUAUUUUGGUACUAUGUGUAAUUUGAGAAUCACAUCCUUACUUUUGUGAAAACCAUUACAGAUUCUUCUGUAAAUGCACACAACUUGUUUACAAGUUUUUGAAUUUCUUACUUUAAUCUUUAUCUCUGAGUUUCCACAUAGGUAAUUUUGAAGAAUUUAUCUGGUAGAUCUUUUAGUAUGAUUCUUUUUGCUGGUGAUGACUUAGUCUCCAUUUUCACUUGUACAAAUAUAUCUAAAGUGUAUUAUAAAUGGCGUGGCUGAUAGAUUCUCAUUUUCUGUUGAAGUUGCAGUGAGCCGAGACUGCACCACUGCACUCCAGCCUGGGUGACAGAACGAGACUCUGACUCAAAAAAAAAAAAAGUAUAUAAAAAUAAUACAAUACAACAAAGGAAAAGGAACCUGUCUUUUCAGGUAAAAUUGAGUUAUUUAAGGCUGAUUUACAAUUAUAUGUAUUUUACAAUGUUUAAAAUUAAAAUAUCAUUUUGCCUCCUUUUUGUCAGACACAUCUUACUACAUCUAUGUAAUGUCGAUGAAAAGAACCUUCACUUAUCUUCUAGACUCAAUGUACUCUCUCCAAAAAACAAGGAGGUGGAGAAUACAAAUAUAAAUA